GAUGAACGCUGGCGGCGUGCCUAAUACAUGCAAGUCGAGCGAACGGACGAGAAGCUUGCUUCUCUGAUGUUAGCGGCGGACGGGUGAGUAACACGUGGAUAACCUACCUAUAAGACUGGGAUAACUUCGGGAAACCGGAGCUAAUACCGGAUAAUAUUUUGAACCGCAUGGUUCAAAAGUGAAAGACGGUCUUGCUGUCACUUAUAGAUGGAUCCGCGCUGCAUUAGCUAGUUGGUAAGGUAACGGCUUACCAGGGCAACGAUGCAUAGCCGACCUGAGAGGGUGAUCGGCCACACUGGAACUGAGACACGGUCCAGACUCCUACGGGAGGCAGCGGUAGGGAAUCUUCCGCAAUGGGCGAAAGCCUGACGGAGCAACGUCGCGUGAGUGAUGAAGGUCUUCGGAUCGUAAAACUCUGUUAUUAGGGAAGAACAUAUGUGUAAGUAACUGUGCACAUCUUGACGGUACCUAAUCAGAAAGCCACGGCUAACUACGUG
rnacentral:rRNA from 1 species